AGUGAACGCUGGCGGUAGGCCUAACACAUGCAAGUCGAACGGCAGCACAGGAGAGCUUGCUCUCUGGGUGGCGAGUGGCGGACGGGUGAGGAAUACAUCGGAAUCUACUUUUUCGUGGGGGAUAACGUAGGGAAACUUACGCUAAUACCGCAUACGACCUACGGGUGAAAGCAGGGGACCUCCGGGCCUUGCGCGAUUGAAUGAGCAGAUGUUGGGUUAGCUAGUUGGCGGGGUAAAGGCCCACCAAGGAGACGAUCCGUAGCUGGUCUGAGAGGAUGAUCAGCCACACUGGACCUGAGACACGGUCCAGCCUCCUACGGGAGGCAGCAGUGGGGAAUAUUGGGCAAUGGGCGCAAGCCUGAUCCAGCCAUACCGCGUGGGUGAAGAAGGCCUUCGGGUUGUAAAGCCCUUUUGUUGGGAAAGAAAUCCAGCUGGCUAAUACCCGAUUGGGAUGACGGUACCCAAAGAAUAAGCACCGGCUAACUUCGUGCCAGCCGCCGCCGUAA
rnacentral:rRNA from 1 species